rnacentral:rRNA from 1 species
AGAGUUUGAUCCUGGCUCAGGAUGAACGCUGGCGGCGUGCUUAACACAUGCAAGUCGAACGAUGAACCUCACUUGUGGGGGGAUUAGUGGCGAACGGGUGAGUAACACGUGAGUAACCUGCCCUUGACUCUGGGAUAAGCCUGGGAAACCGGGUCUAAUACUGGAUACGACCUUCUGGCGCAUGCCAUGUUGUGGAAAGCUUUUGUGGUUUUGGAUGGACUCGCGGCCUAUCAGCUUGUUGGUGGGGUAAUGGCCUACCAAGGCGACGACGGGUAGCCGGCCUGAGAGGGUGCCGNNCACACUGGGACUGAGACACGGCCCAGACUCCUACGGGAGGCAGCAGUGGGGAAUAUUGCACAAUGGGCGCAAGCCUGAUGCAGCGACGCCGCGUGAAGGAUGAAGGCCUUCGGGUUGUAAACCUCUUUCAGUAGGGAAGAAGCCGGCCUUUGGGUUGGUGACGGUACCUGCAGAAGAAGCGCCGGCUAACUACGUGCCAGCAGCCGCGGUAAUACGUAGGGCGCAAGCGUUAUCCGGAAUUAUUGGGCGUAAAGAGCUCGUAGGCGGUUUGUCGCGUCUGCCGUGAAAGUCCGGGGCUUAACCCCGGAUCUGCGGUGGGUACGGGCAGACUAGAGUGCAGUAGGGGAGACUGGAAUUCCUGGUGUAACGGUGAAAUGCGCAGAUAUCAGGAGGAACACCGAUGGCGAAGGCAGGUCUCUGGGCUGUAACUGACGCUGAGGAGCGAAAGCAUGGGGAGCGAACAGGAUUAGAUACCCUAGUAGUCC